rnacentral:rRNA from 1 species
UACGGGGGGGGGCAAGCGUUGUUCGGAAUUACUGGGCGUAAAGGCUCGUAGGCGGCCAACUAAGUCAGACGUGAAAUCCCUCGGCUUAACCGGGGAACUGCGUCUGAUACUGGGAGGCUAGAGUAUGGGAGAGGGAUGUAGAAUUCCAGGUGUAGCGGUGAAAUGCGUAGAUAUCUGGAGGAAUACCGGUGGCGAAGGCGGCAUCCUGGACCAUUACUGACGCUGAGGCGCGAAAGCUAGGGGAGCAAACGGG